rnacentral:lncRNA from 1 species
CGCCAUGGUGACUUGCAAGCAACUCACUGCACUUAGACACUGGACUACCUGAAUUUUUAAUUCAGUAACGGAAGGCUGCUGGGUGUAGUCAAGUACUUGACUUGUCGGUGCGUGUGUCAAGAUGGGAUUGACUACUCUAGUUUAGGAGCUGUGUACAGUCAUGUUUUCAUUUAGCAAAACCUUGACCAAGGUAGUUCUAGUGAGGAGUCAUA